CACACACACACACACACACACACUGGCUAUUGUGACCGGCCGAAAUGUGGGAAUUAAAGCUACAUGUACUAGGAAGCUGGCAAACAGAAUGUUACAGUUUACAGUACAGUUCAUGUGUGAGUGGGUGGUUGUUGUCCAAAGAACAGGGGAUCUUUUUA